CUGAUUUGAGUAAAAUGCCUGAUUCUCCUGUGUGGCCAGUCUCGUGUCAAUUAAACUCUCUACUACAAUGCCAUGGUGUCAAUGCAUCUUGUCUGUGCAGUGCGCAGAAAGAACCCACUGGCAAUUACAUUACCAGUAGCUAUCGCUCUUCUGUCCUUCAAACAGGAAAUACUUCAACCCUGGAACCACGGCACCAGCACCUGCUUCUGAUGAGGGUCUCCGACUGCUUCUGUUCAUGGCACAAGGUGAAGGACAGCCAGUGUGUAAAGAGCACAUGGCAAGAGAGAGGAAAAGUGGGGAUCCACCCCCACGACCCAAACACCUUUCACCAGGACCCAUCUCCAACUUUGGGGAACAAAUUUUAAUGUGAGAUUUGGUGGAGACAAAUGUUCAAACCAUACCAGAUAACUCACAACAUCUGCCACUAUGCUUCUGUUAAGGAAAAAGGCUGCUGCCAAGAGGAAAUGAAUGGUGUCUUUGAGAUAUUCACAAACAUCCGGUGCGGAUGGGGAAGCUCACUUUGAGAGCCAGCGUUUAUUCUAUUUUCUGUAUUUGAUCCAUUCUCAACAAAGGCCGUUCCCAACCCUAUCUUUCACAGUGUCUUUCUGCUGCACCAGAUGUUGGAAUAAAUCUGUAUUUCUUU
rnacentral:lncRNA from 1 species